CAGAAAUGAAUCUAGGAUGGCAAGAGAACACACCAUGCCACCGCCAACAGACAAGACACGGCUGAUCAUCAGUCUCAGAACUGUUAGCUUUGGGAGCCAACAGGUGAUUCCCCUACAUGGCCGAGCUCUCCAGGGAUGGAGGACAAGUCCAGGUUUCAGAAAAGGACCUUCUGAUAGCAAAAAAGAUGCAAAAGAUCUGGUGACUGGGAGCCCAGCAGUGAUUCUUCAAGGGCAAGAAACAGAAAUCAGAGCCUAAAGAAGGGGAGUGGAAUGCCUGAUGUAAUUAACUUAUUAAAUAAAAAGGCUUCAUCUCGCUUGUUCUGGAUGAUCAGACACCUCACCUCUGACAAGAACAGUGGCAGAGCCUGCAGUAGAGAAAAACUCCUCACCUGUGGGCAGGAGGCAGAGACAAGCUGAUUGAGUCCUGUCCCUCAUGAUUCUUAUGUUGAAGCCUUGAUGAAAGUCUGAGGAUGGGGACUUCAUGCUAAGAAGAGAUACCUGGGGACUCUGUGUGAAAUGAGGACAUAGCUAGCAGAUAAAUAUCUUCAAGAAUGGAGAAAACCCUUUACCAAACCCUGAUCAUUCUGGUAUCUUAAUCUGAAGUGCUCAGGACUGAGAGGAAAAACAAACAUUCUGUGUUUUUCUAAGUCACCUAGUCUGUGGUAUUCUGCACAGUGGCCUGAGCUAAGACACUUGCUACAAUACAAAUGUAACUGGAGACUUU